rnacentral:rRNA from 1 species
CGCUCCUUGAAAAAUAUUUUUUAUAUAAGGAGUCCUGCCUGCCCAGUGACAACGUUAAACGGCCGCGGUAUCUUGACCGUGCAAAGGUAGCAUAAUCAUUUGCCUUUUAAAUGGAGGCUGGAAUGAAUGGCAAGACGUAGUUUAAGCUGUCUCUUUUUUGUACCUUGAAGUUUUCAUCCUUGUGAAGAGUCGGGGAUAUUUUCGUAGGACGAGAAGACCCUAUUGAGCUUUAGUAUAGAAUAGGUUUAGUCGAUAUAAAAUUUUUUAGGCUAAUAAAGUUUAUAAAAUAGGACAUAUUUACCUUAUGAAUGGUGUCGUUUUAAGUCUGAUACUUUAAUUGGGGCAAUUGCGGAGAAGAAGUAGCCUCCGUUUAUAGUAUAAAUAUAAAAAGUUAUUUCUUUAUAGUGUAUAAAUUAUGAUAAGUGAUCCACUGUUUUGCAGUGAGCAAAGGAACAAGUUACCAUAGGGAUAACAGCGUAAUUUUUUUGGAGAGUUCAUAUUGAUAAAAAAGUUUGCGACCUCGAUGUUGGAUCGGGACAUCCAGGAAAUGCAGAAGUUUCCAAGGGUUGGUCUGUUCGACCAUUAAAGUCCUACG